UAACGGCGAGUGAAGCGGCAACAGCUCAAAUUUGAAAUCUGGCUCUUUCAGGGCCCGAGUUGUAAUUUGUAGAGGGUGCUUCGGGCGAGGCGCCGGCCUAAGUUCCUUGGAACAGGACGUCAUAGAGGGUGAGAAUCCCGUAUGCGGCCGGUGACCGACUCCAUGUGAAGCCCCUUCGACGAGUCGAGUUGUUUGGGAAUGCAGCUCUAAAUGGGUGGUAAAUUUCAUCUAAAGCUAAAUACCGGCCAGAGACCGAUAGCGCACAAGUAGAGUGAUCGAAAGAUGAAAAGCACUUUGGAAAGAGAGUUAAAAAGUACGUGAAAUUGUUGAAAGGGAAGCGCUUGCAACCAGACCUGCCUUCGGGUGAUCAGCCGUCGUUCUCGGCGGUGCACUCGCCCGUUGCAGGCCAGCAUCGGUUCGGGCGGUCGGAUAAAGGCCUCGGGAAUGUAGCUCCUCUCGGGGAGUGUUAUAGCCCGGGGUGCAAUGCGGCCAGCCUGGACCGAGGACCGCGCUUCGGCUAGGAUGCUGGCGUAAUGGUUGUAAGCGGCCCGUCUUGAAACACGGACCAAGGAGUCUAACAUCUAUGCGAGUGUUUGGGUGUCAAACCCAUGCGCGGAAUGAAAGUGAACGGAGGUGAGAACCCUUAAGGGCGCAUCAUCGACCGAUCCAGAUGUCUUCGGAUGGAUUUGAGUAAGAGCAUAGCUGUUGGGACCCGAAAGAUGGUGAACUAUGCCUGAAUAGGGUGAAGCCAGAGGAAACUCUGGUGGAGGCUCGCAGCGGUUCUGACGUGCAAAUCGAUCGUCAAAUUUGGGUAUAGGGGCGCUCUUUCGCCCCUGAGCGUAGUCCUUCGGGGCGAGGCUUGCGGUCUGCGGGGAUGCUCGGUUCCGGCCGGACUGCCCGCACCCUCCCCUCAUCGGGGCCGGGUCACAGAUCAAGCACAGGCCGGCAUGCCCCUUUGGU
rnacentral:rRNA from 1 species